rnacentral:rRNA from 1 species
GACGAACGCUGGCGGCGUGCUUAACACAUGCAAGUCGAGCGGUAAGGCCCUUUCGGGGGUACACGAGCGGCGAACGGGUGAGUAACACGUGGGUGACCUGCCUUCAGCUCUGGGAUAAGCCUGGGAAACCGGGUCUAAUACUGGAUAUGACUCCAUGACGCAUGUUGUGGGGUGGAAAGCCUUGUGCGGCUGAGGAUGGGCCCGCGGCCUAUCAGCUUGUUGGUGGGGUGAUGGCCUACCAAGGCGACGACGGGUAGCCGGCCUGAGAGGGCGACCGGCCACACUGGGACUGAGACACGGCCCAGACUCCUACGGGAGGCAGCAGUGGGGAAUCUUGCGCAAUGGGCGAAAGCCUGACGCAGCGACGCCGCGUGAGGGAUGACGGCCUGG